UACGGCCUCAUCACGUUGAAACACCGGUUCCCGUACAAUCAUCGAAGUUAAGUAACGUGGAGCCUGGUCAGUACCUAGAUGGGUGACCGCUUGGAAAUACCAGGUACA
rnacentral:rRNA from 1 species